AAUAGAUACCCGGGUAGUCCACGCCCUAAACGAUGCCAACUAGGUGUUGGGGAAGGAGACUUCCUUAGUACCGUAGCUAACGCGUGAAGUUGGCCGCCUGGGGAGUACGGUCGCAAGAUUAAAACUCAAAGGAAUUGACGGGGACCCGCACAAGCGGUGGAUGAUGUGGAUUAAUUCGAUGCAACGCGAAAAACCUUACCUACCCUUGACAUGCCAGGAACUUGCCAGAGAUGGCUUGGUGCUCGAAAGAGAGCCUGGACACAGGUGCCGCAUGGCUGUCGUCAGCUCGUGUCGUGAGAUGUUGGGUUAAGUCCCGCAACGAGCGCAACCCUUGUCAUUAAUUGCCAUCAUUUAGUUGGGCACUUUAAUGAGACUGCCGGUGACAAACCGGAGGAAGGUGGGGAUGACGUCAAGUCCUCAUGGCCCUUAUGGGUUAGGGCUUCACACGUCAUACAAUGGUCGGUACAGAGGGUUGCCAAGCCGCGAGGUGGAGCCAAUCCCAGAAAGCCGAUCGUAGUCCGGAUUGGAGU
rnacentral:rRNA from 1 species